CAGUAGCCGCGGGAAAACGUAGGGUGCGAGCGUUAACCGGAAUUACUGGGCGUAAAGCGUGCGCAGGCGGUUCGUUAAGACAGAUGUGAAAUCCCCGGGCUUAACCUGGGAACUGCAUUUGUGACUGGCGAGCUAGAGUAUGGCAGAGGGGGGUAGAAUUCCACGUGUAGCAGUGAAAUGCGUAGAGAUCUGGAGGAAUACCGAUGGCGAAGGCAGCCAUCUGGCCUAAUACUGACGCUGAGGUACGAAAGCAUGGGGAGCAAACAGGAUUAGAUACCCCAGUAGUCCCUGUCUCUUAUAC
rnacentral:rRNA from 1 species